rnacentral:rRNA from 1 species
CCUACGGGUGGCAGCAGUGGGGAAUAUUGCACAAUGGGGGAAACCCUGAUGCAGCGACGCCGCGUGAGUGAAGAAGUAUUUCGGUAUGUAAAGCUCUAUCAGCAGGGAAGAAAUAGCGACCUUUGGGUCGCCAGACGGUACCUGAUUAAGAAGCCCCGGCUACAUACGUGCCAGCAGCCGCGGGAAUACGUAGGGGGCAAGCGUUAUCCGGCUUUACUGGGUGUAAAGGGAGCGUAGACGGCAGCGCAAGUCUGAAGUGAAAUGCCGGGGCUUAACCCCCGAACUGCUUUGGAAACUGUGCAGCUAGAGUGCGGGAGAGGUAAGUGGAAUUCCUGGUGUAGCGGUGAAAUGCGUAGAUAUUAGGAGGAACACCAGUGGCGAAGGCGGCUUACUGGACUGUAACUGACGUUGAGGCUCGAAAGCGUGGGGAGCAAACAGGAUUAGAUACCCCUGUAGUC